CAAGAUGGAGAAGCAGGGCACGUGCAUUACUAACUCAUGCAUAAUUGAACAUACAUACAUACGCAUUUUUCUUGCUGGAGGUUAGUUCUUCAUGUGCCCGUCUUCCCCAUCAUGAC
rnacentral:pre_miRNA from 1 species